UUCACUUGAAGAAGUUGUGGAACAAUGCACUCGGCGUGACAGUGAUGAGUCAGAAGAUGACAUUAGUGACGAAGAGAGCGACGUCUCAUCUGUUGACUCCAUAGCGGAGGAUCUGUUUUUGGACACUCUCGACAAACAAUCACCUGACACUGAAUCAGAUGAAGACUGGGAGCCAGUGGAGAGACACAAGAGAUGUGUUUAUGUGUUCAACAAUCCACACAGCCCAUACGGGGGAUACCAUUCAGAGGAGAGUCAAAGAUGAGGAUGGGCACUGGGUGUUGUGGGACAUCUCUGUUCCACCAGCAGUGAAAGAGUACAACCGGUGCAUGGGUGGAGUGGACCUCUCUGAUGCCCUGAUCAGCUAUUACAAAGUCAUCCACAAGACCCAGAAGUGGUACAAGACAUUUUUUUUUAUCACUUCAUGGACAUUGCCAUU